rnacentral:rRNA from 1 species
ACCGUCCCACGUUCGGAUUGCAGUCUGCAACUCGACUGCAUGAAGCCGGAAUCGCUAGUAAUCGCGGAUCAGAAUGCCGCGGUGAAUACGUUCCCGGGUCUUGUACACGCCGCCCGUCACACCAUGGAAGUCUGCAAUGCCCGAAGCCGGUGGCCUAACCACUUAUGUGGAAGGAGCCGUCUAAGGCAGGGCAGAUGACUGGGGUGAAGUCGUAACAAGGUACC